rnacentral:rRNA from 1 species
GACCUCCGCAAUGCGAGCAAUCGCGACGGGGGGACCCCAAGUGCCACUUUAACGGGGUGGCUUUUCUGAAGUGCUUUAGGAUAAGGGCUGGCAAGACCGGUGCCAGCCGCCGCGGUAACACCGGCAGCUCAAGUGGUGGCCGUUUUUAUUGGGCCUAAAGCGUUCGUAGCCGGUUUGAUAAGUCUCUGGCGAAAUCCCACAGCUUAACUGUGGGAAUGCUGGAGAUACUAUCAGGCUUGAGGCCGGGAGAGGCUGGAGGUACUCCCAGGGUAGGGGUGAAAUCCUAUAAUCCUGGGAGGACCACCUGUGGCGAAGGCGUCCAGCUGGAACGG